UCCUAGGCAAACGUCUAAGUUCUGUACCUCUCCCUACUUACCACCCACUGAGAGUGAUAGAUUCAGCUUGACUAGACCUGGCUUAAAAUGAUCAACUGAAAGAGAAAAUCUGACCUCUGCCCCCAUCCUGUCACUUGACUGAUUCCUGAGGCCUUUGGCCUAAUUGUCUCAGAUCUGCAAUGUGCUCAUGUCUCCUCUGAUUUUCUUACUGCGGCUGUCACCUCCAAUAUGGAAAGAAAAAUGAACGAUAAUGUUGUGAUGGGCUGGGCUACCAUGUUAUACCCUAUUUACAGGCCCUUUCUAGUCCAAGAAGUCACCACAAUUUUUUCAAAAGGAGAGGAGAGAGUGGGUUAACCUGGCUUGGGAACUAACAAGUCAUGAAAACUGUCAGCACCUUUGAUUGAUUGUGCGCUGUGAAAGCACAGGAUAUCUCUUCUUUGCAUGGGGCUGUAAGACAAAGGGUGGUCUUCUGUGGCCCAUGGUUCCUCCACAGAGGCAUCGUUAGAGAAGGCCACUCAAGCAAAGGGAAGAAUUGGUGACAGAGCAAGGCAGGUGGCUGAGUUCUGACUAGUCCCUGGUUUCAGAGCAUUGUGUCAGUCAUCUCUCUUUUGUAACUGGGCUGGGAGUUAGAGGCUUUAUUCAGUCCCAAGUGCGAGAAAGGGAACUUUUACUAGAGGGCAUGGCCUUGUGAGGCAAGGGAAGAAAGUAUCUUCUGCCAGCUGGGGCAGGGAACAGAGGUGAGUCAGAACGGCUUGUGGAGAAUGGUAUUCCCCUCUGGGGGACACAGGGCCACUUGUAAAAUUACGUCUAGAUGUUGGUUUACAGCCAAGCUUCUCAACCUUAGCUGCAUAUUGGAAUCACCUGGGAGGCUUUUACAAUCUUGCUGUCCAGGCCCCUCCUCAGACCAAUUAUAUCAGGAUCUCGGGGGUGGGAACCAGGCUGAGGGAGCUGUCAAGGCUCCCCAGGUCACUUCAGUGUACAUUCAGGCUUGAGGCCCACUGAUCUAGGACCUUGCUAAUCAAAGUGUGGCCUGAGGACCAGCAGCAUUGAUAUCCCCUGGGACUUGAGAGACGUGCAGAAUCUCAGGCCCUAUCCCAACCCCAAGUCAGCACCUGCAUUUUAGCAAGGUCCCUGGGAGAUCUGAAGUCCAUUAAAGUAUAAGGAGUUGUGGUUCUCAAACUUUGCUGCACAUUAAAAUCACCUAGGGAGCUUUUAAAAAUCCAAUGCCCAGGCUGCACCUCGUACCAAUUAAAUCAGAAUUUUUGAGGGUGGGAUGCAAGCAUCAGUAGUUUUUUAUUGGUUCUCAGGUGAUUCUG